CCUGGCCAAUAUGGUGAAACCCCUUCUCUACUAAAAAUACAAAAAUUAGCCUGGCUUGGCGGUAUGCGCCUGUAGCCCCUGCUACUUGGAGGACUGAGGUGGGAGAACGGCUUGAGCCCAGGAGACGGAGGGUGCAGUGAGCCA